AUGAACUGGUUUUGAAAAAUAACAAGAACCACCUUCUAUUCUCUGCCUGCCUGCCUACCUUCUUUCUGUAACAAAGGAAAGAAAUGGAGGAGAUUGUAAAAGAUGCACUAGCCGCACAAGCCCUUGUUACCUGCGUCUGCUUUUAGAGUCCCUGGUCCAUUUUACCACUGGGCACAUUGCUCAGUUAUACUCAGAGUGGAUGACUGGCAAAAUGACACCUGUUUUAUUUUAUUUUUAUUUUUUAAAGAAGCCACUUGCCAAGUGUGUGUAGGAAAACGAUUCCUAUGGUAUGACAUCGAGAUCCUGUGUUUUGAUCAGAUAAGGGAUUCUGAUCUGCAGUUUAUAAAGUUCACUAGCAGAAAACCCAAGGUCAUUGAUGACACAACACCGUCCACACAGCAACAGACGGCCUGCACGCACAGUGACAACAUGAGUGUGGAUGGCGGUGAUUGCUGUGUCGCGAACCCAUACGCAAGAAGAAUGUGUCCUCUUUUGAAAGGAGAAUCACAGUGCAAACUGAGACAAAGGCUGAAAUCUCACAAAGAAUAGCACACGUGGACGAAGCAGUUGGCAUUCUGGAUGCUUCCACAGUUGCUUCUCUAGUGUCAGCGCCAAUCCACUAUGCAGCUCUUAUGCAUCAACCACCUGCACUGAAAGGUCCUAGCUCAUGUGACACCGCCAUCUUGCCAGAAUGAGAGCCCUAGUCAUCUCCUGGCUCCUACCACAGUUACCCUGGGCUGCUCUAUACUAGAUGCCAGUAGCAGAGUUCCAGAGGGUCCUCACUGGCAUGCCUCUUCCCGGCUGAAAACUGGCAGUGUUUUUAAUCACCUUCAGCAGAGGUACGAGACCUAGAAUGUUUGGCACCACGGGUCAUAAAGGUGUUUAGACGUCAUUUGUACAUUCUGCUUCCUCG